rfam:Ovis aries breed Texel chromosome 7, whole genome shotgun sequence.
UCCCUGGUGGUCUAGUGGUUAGGAUUUCGCACUUUCACUGCUGUGACCUGGAUUCAAUCCACAGUCAGGGAA